UACAGAGGGUGCAAGCGUUAAUCGGAAUUACUGGGCGUGAAGCGCGCGUAGGCGGUUUGUUAAGUCGGAUGUGAAAGCCCCGGGCUCAACCUGGGAACGGCAUUCGAUACUGGCAUGCUAGAGUAUGGUAGAGGGUAGUGGAAUUCCAGGUGUAGCGGUGAAAUGCGUAGAUAUCUGGAGGAACAUCAGUGGCGAAGGCGGCUACCUGGACCAAUACUGACGCUGAGGUGCGAAAGCGUGGGGAGCAAACAGG
rnacentral:rRNA from 1 species